rnacentral:rRNA from 1 species
GACGAACGCUGGCGGCGUGCUUAACACAUGCAAGUCGAACGGAAAGGCCCUGCUUUUGUGGGGUGCUCGAGUGGCGAACGGGUGAGUAACACGUGAGUAACCUGCCCUUGACUUUGGGAUAACUUCAGGAAACUGGGGCUAAUACCGGAUAGGAGCUCCUGCUGCAUGGUGGGGGUUGGAAAGUUUCGGCGGUUGGGGAUGGACUCGCGGUUUAUCAUCUUGUUGGUGGGGUAGUGGCUUACCAAGGCUUUGACGGGUAGCCGCCCUGGGAGGGUGACAGGCACAAUGGGACUGGGGGACGGGCCAGACUGCUACCGGAGGCAACGGGGGGGAAUAUUGCACAAUGGGCGGAAGCCUGAUGCAGCAACGCCGCGUGCGGGAUGACGGCCUUCGGGUUGUAAACCGCUUUCGCCUGUGACGAAGCGUGAGUGACGGUAAUGGGUAAAGAAGCACCGGCUAACUACGUG